rnacentral:rRNA from 1 species
UACAGAGGUGGCAAGCGUUGUUCGGAAUUACUGGGCGUAAAGCGCGUGUAGGCGGCAAGCCAAGUCGGGUGUGAAAGCCCUGGGCUCAACCCAGGAAGUGCAUUCGAUACUGGCAAGCUAGAGUCCCGGAGAGGAUGGUGGAACUCUCGGUGUAGAGGUGAAAUUCGUAGAUAUCGAGAAGAACACCGGUGGCGAAGGCGGCCAUCUGGACGGUGACUGACGCUGAGACGCGAAAGCGUGGGGAGCAAACAGG